AAAAACUUUUUUUGUUUUGUUUAUGAAAUUCAUUGUUUCAUGGCACUCAAUCAAUUAGUCCCAGUUGAUUCUUAUCUUUACAUCAAAAUGAUAUGUAUUUUUAACAAAGUUAUCUAACAAAUACUAAGUCUGUUAAUGCGUAGUUUUUUCUCUUGGUAUAUUUUUUCGAUCUGUUGUCAUUAUCGUGAAAAUGCGGAUUUUUGUCAUAUCUGGUCCGGUUCCAAUCCGUAGUUUUCCCAAAAAUGUGCAAUGGCGGCCGUGGAAAAAUUUACGAAAAUGAGUCCGAGAAUAAACAUUGUUUGACAAGAGAUUGUGAAUGAAUAAGACGCUUUUAAUGCAUUAAAUAGAUUAAACAUAAACUUAAGCCAAUUAUGAUAACUUUUGAAAGAAGUAUUAAACUUAUUUUAGCUCUAAACCAAAAUUCUCGCUCUCGGAAGAGAAAGAAAGUAAUUUUUGGAGAGUUGCACAAAUAAACG
rnacentral:lncRNA from 1 species